AAACAGCAUUUAAAUUUAAAUUGCUACCUUAUUUUGGAAUGACAGCUCAAACGGACGGCAAAAACAAAUCAGUGCAAUGUUAUGAUUGUUUUGAGCGCAUGAAACUGAAGCUGUAAAACUGCUUGUGGCUGAUUCCGCUGGUGCAUGGUGAAAGAAAGGUCACAAAAUUUGAUGCCGGAAGGCGGAAGUCAAAGGGAACUUGUUUGUUUACGAUUUAAGGUCAUUUGGGGACGUCUUUGGCAUGGCUUGGCGGUGGAGAUGUUGAAAGUGAUUGAGUGCGAAAGAUGCCGGUGUAAACAACAAGAAUCAGCAUCAAAACAGAUUUUUAGGCAGGGCCUCUAGCGUCAGCAGCGGAAAUGGGUUUACAAACGGGAAGAUGCCUGGAGCUGGGGGGACGACGGGCUGGAGACGGUCAGGCCGGACGGCAGUUCGAAGACGAGCUUGGCAAAGCAGAAGUCCAUGCCAAACUUCUGGUGGAUCUAUCUUGGUACAGUUCGUUUUUGGUCUGGAUGUUCCAGACAGCGAGGGUCAAUCGUAGGUUGCUUUGAACAAGCUUCCGGACUCGGUCCGGUCAACGAACGGACCCUACAACCUGAAACUCGGUCUGGCCACUUUAGUUAUCGGUGUUGCGGAAUCUUAGUUCUUCAGUGUUGGUCGUACUGGUUCUUGAAGGGAGGAAGUUAGAACUACUGAUGUUUCAACACCGACUCAAACAACGCGUAAACAUCGUUCUGAAAUUUAAUCUGCAGUU